CUGUCUGCCCUUUCUUGGGUGCUUGGUCUUUCUCCGUCUCCACAUCUGAUCUGCGGUCCUGCCGCCCAGCUCUCUGGAUGCAGCAGCUGAGGCCAAGUGGGGAAGUGACGCCUGGCGUGUGUGAUCUUCCAGCUCAAAUGUGGGCACGUGGAGGGUGCAGGGCACACUUGCGGAGGGAAGAUGACGGCUGAGGAGGACUCAGAGGGGCCGCGAUUAGGGAGCCCCAGGUGGAAGGCAGGACGAGGGUAAACAAAAGAACUCCGUGCCGCUGGGACCCUGCAGACCAUGGGAGAUGAAACACAAGGGCGCGGGCGGGAAAAGACGGAGACCGUUCCGCACAGCCACACCUGGCGCGGGGUUCCUCAGUCCCCGGGCUACUAGGCAGGAGCCGCCAACUUCAGAGCCCGAGUCCUUCUGCUUAGUUGUGUGUGUGUGUUUACCCUCUAAGAAACUGCGGGUUACACAACCUUCUGAGAUACGAAUCGGAAGCACUGUCUGAAAUAAGCUGAACCCUAACGAGCACAGGUGAGUCAGCAGCACGGAAUGGGGAGAUCAGGGAGGCAGAGGUCUCCCACAGCUCACCCUCGUCCCUGCAUUAAAGCGUCGUGGCCCGGGAGAAGACCCACAAGAGCAGCCGCUGCCUUUCUGUCCUCUCCUUUUCGUGAAGAUGCUGAGAGUCACCGUGAAACUUAACUCCUGAGGUGCUCGGCUGUCCCACUGUGUCUGACAGCUCUUUCUGUGUUACACGGCAGUGAGUUCUCAUCUACAACUGGUAGAAGUGAGGUGGGUGUGGCCAUUCUGGACAGCAAUUAAGAAAUUGUAUAUUAUAUAUUUUAUAUGCCAUGACAUGGCCAUCCCAACGUACGCCAGAGAAACUGUUGCCUACGUCCAUAUGGAAACACACGUGGGACAGAUGCGCAUUCUGUGAGGCCAAAUUUAAGAGGGAUGAAAGUGUCAUAUGGCUGGAAGGGACCUUACAAAAUGAGUUAGUGCAAGAACAACGACACCUGCAGCAAUACUGAUGCCGUCUGUCCAUGCAGAGUUUCGGAAUUACCCUCAGAGGCAGCGCGCCCGGCGUGACUUUGAGACUGUGAGUCAGCUUCCUCACAUCCCAUGCCUGCUGUACCACCACUGGCGAGGCGCAAAUGAGGGCAGAGCUGAGAACUUUUUUGGCUGCGACGCUGCUGAAUCAAAAAUGGACUUGGAGAGAAAGCCUUCACUGAUUUGCUCUGAAUCCAAUUAUCUGGUCCAAACUGGAAGAUGAAUCACGUGUAAGAGAGUCCAGGGAAGGAGAGUCCCAUGUCCGACUCAAGAGAAGAUCUGAAUCAAGAGAAUGAUGGGGAAGAGAACCAAGGUGAGGCAGGAGCUCCAGGAAGUGAUUUCUCAGCGUGGACCAGACUUGUUCUCAGCCCGGAGAAGUAUGAGUAAAUGUGACCUGGUGUUUUUGAAAACUGCGUGAACCUCAGCACCAGGGGACUUCCUGAUGGCGGCCCUUCCCCUGAAGCUCCACUUGGGUGUGUGAAGGGGCACUUUGGUAGCCACAGUGACUGUGUGGGGUCAUGGAUGCCAAACGAUCUUCUGUAUCCAGACACUCACAUGGAAAGAACUGUGCCCCAUAUGGUCACCUUAUGACUGAUAAAGGAGGCAAGAAUAUACAAUGGAGAAAAGACAGCCUCUUCAAUAAGUGGUGUUGGGAAAAUUGGACAGAUACAUGUAAAAGAAUGAAAUUAGAACACUCCCUACCACCAUAAACAAAAAUAAACUCAAAAUGGAUUAAAGACCUAAAUGUAAGGCCAGACACUAUCAAAUUCUUAGAGGAAAACAUAGGCAGAACACUCUAUGGCAUAAAUCACAGCAAGAUCCUUUUUGACCCACCUCCUAGAGACAUGGAAAUAAAAACCAAAAUAAACAAAUGGGACCUAAUGAAACUUAAAAGCUUUUGCACAGCAAAGGAAACCAUAAACAAGACAAAAUGACAACCCUCAGAAUAGGAGAAAAUAUUUGCAAACGAAGCAACUGACAAAGGAUUAAUCUCCAAAAUUUACAAGCAGCUCAUGCAACUCAAUAACAAAAAAACAAACAACCCAAUCCAAAAAUGGGCAGAAGACCUAAAUAGACAUUUCUCCAAAGAAAAUAUACAGAUUGCCAACAAACACAUGAAAGGAUGCUCAACAUCACUAAUCAUUAGAGACAUGCAAAUCAAAACUACAAUGAGGUAUCAUCUCACACCGGUCAGAAUGGCCAUCAUCAAAAAAUCUACAAACAAUAAAUGCUGGAGAGGGUGUGGACAAAAGGGAACACUCUUGCACUGUUGGUGGGAAUGUAAAUUGAUACAGACACUAUGGAGACAGUAUGGAGGUUCCCUAAAAAACUAAAAAUAGAACUACCAUAUGACCCAGCAAUCCCACUACUGGACAUAUACCCUGAGAAAACCAUAAUUCAAAAAGAGUCAUGUACCAAAAUGUUCAUUGCGGCUCUAUUUACAAUAGCCAGGACAUGGAAGCAACCUAAGUGUCCAUCGACAGAUAAAUGGAUAAAGAAGAUGUGGCACGUAUACACAAUAGAAUAUUACUCAGCCAUAAAAAGAAACGAAAUUGAGUUAUUUGUA